AUGGAUUUUUUGAUGGCAGAGCCAACUUAUAAACUUCUUAUCUUUUUAUGCAUGAUACGAGGAAUAUACGGAGUGCUUAUACAUUAUGAUGUGAACGUAAAUGCUGUGGAGGGACAGAACGUCAGCCUGCAGUGCAUUGUGGGAGAGGAGCAUGAAGUCACAAUUAUCCAGCUGGAAUGGAUUAAACAGCAAAAAGAAAAUGAGAAGAUCGAUCAGAAGAUUGUUGUGUUCCAUCCUGGGUACCCAACAUAUUAUAUUAAAUCCGGUUCUCUUCUGGAGACAGUGACCAGUUCAAAAACUGGGAAGCUGCAGGGCUCAAUCCUGACCCUGUAUAAAGUUGCAGUGAAUGAUGGUGGAAACUAUAUUUGCGAAAUUACAUCUUAUCCUAAUGGCUCAAUUAAAAGAACCACAAAGCUCCAAGUCACAGAGCCUCCAGCAUCAGUGAAGAUGUCAUAUCCAUAUGGAUUCAUAAAAGAAGGAGACGACGUGAAAAUAACUUGUUCAGCUAGCCCUCCACCACUCCGUUAUAAACUUGCAAGGUCAAAGGACCAGAUAUUUUGGCUGGGAAGCUCAAACGGAGAGAUCAUUAUAUCAAACAUCACCAGAAACGACAGCGAUGUGUACAUCUGUUUACCUGAAUGGGACUCAUUAGUACAAAAUCAGCAAGGUCUCAAUGUCACCAUGGAACUGACUGUGAAUUUUCUUGAUGGCAUUGAGUGUAACACAAGCAGCCCUUUAAACGUCAGUGUUGGUGAGGAUGUGAUGAUUUCUUGUAUCGCAAAAGCAUCACAGUACUUGCAGUAUAAGUGGAUGAGGGGUGACACAACACUGUCUCUGUCAGACACUUUGUCUCUGACCUCCGUAACAUCUGACCAGUCGGGAACAUACAAUCUGACAGCUGUCUUUCUGAACAAUCAACUCCAGACAGACAUGCAGUUUUCUAUCCAUGUUCUCUCAAAGCAAAGCCAAGGAAUGACAACUUCUUGCCCAGUAAGUACCACCCAACAUCUGAGCAGCUUUACCUCCAAUGGGACCAGCGAAUGGAGCACUGAUACCACUGUGUCUACAACAGAAUCUGGUCACUUCCUAGCUAGCACAAUAAAACCAAAUGCCACUAAGACAAGCCUACAACCCAGACACACCAGUCAUCCUCCUCCUCUCACUGGCAGCUCUUCUGCUCCACCUGUUGGCAAUGCAUCUACAUUACAUGCAAGCACUGUAAAAUCUCCAGAUUCCUCUACAGACAGUUUGAGCACAACUCCAGAUCCAGCUACCAGAAGAGAAAGAGUCUCCAAUGUUAUAACAAAGAAAACCUUUCCCCCUGUUACAGCACAAAAAGCCUCAAAAAGCUCAAUAUAUAUCGCCGUCCCGAUUGUGUUGUUGAUACUCGUGUUGAUUGUGCUUCUACACAGAAUAUACCAGAACCAAAAAAAGUGAGACAGUACAUCCUCUGUCCUUUUACAUAAUCACGUCCUACACAUUUUCAGUCCAUUUAUCUACAUUUUUACUCUUUCUUUUCAGAAUGGAUAUGCCACCUCCAUUCAAACCUCCCCCACCACCAGUGAAAUACACAUCAGUGAGGAACCAUGAUGUCUAUAUGACUGAUAUUCUAGUGUGAAUGUAUCAUGUACCUGAGAACCCACAAAUCGUGGGCCACAAAAAUGCUGACAUUGAAGAUUUUUCCCUAAAGGCCUCACCCCCCCAAAAAAUGUUUCAUCAAUUACUCAUCCUCAUGAAGUUUCGUUCAACUUCAAAAUGCAAAUGAAGAUAUUUUUAAGAAAACCUAAGAGAUUUCUGACUUUCCAUUGAAAGUCCACGCAACCAGUACUUUGGUGCUUCGAAAAGUUCAUAAAGACAUUGUAAAUGUAACCCACAUUUAAUUCAAGUCUUCUGACGAGGCAGUCACUUUAUAUGAUGAACAGAUUUAAUUUAAGCUUUUAUUCACAUAUAAACAUUAAUCAGUACAUAGAGUACAUCAAAUAUAUUAUAUGUUUUUGGAAGUCUUAUGGACUUAUAAUUAUGAGGUGAAUUAACUCUGUAACAUUUUAUUUUGUUAUAUUUUUGGUUAUUGUGACAUCACCCUCAUUUUCAUGUUUUUAUGUGUUUUUAAAGUUUUUUUUUACUUAUUUUCUUUGUGUCUCUGAACUGAUUGUUGAAUGGAUACAAUACGUUACUCUUAUAAAUAAUUAGUUUGUUGUUUUUUAACUGAAAACUGACUGAAUGUGACUGAAUUUUGCUUAACUGUGCUUUACUGACAUUAAAUAUAUUAUUGAAUAUCUUGAAUAUCUUGAGUUUUACUUAGCGCACAUCCUACAUCAGAACUAUGUAAAAAAAAAAAAAAAAAAUUGUGUGAGGGUGGGGUGUGUGAGGAUGCGGUCAAAAACCGGGUAAAUUCCAUAAAUAUUAAAUAUGACUAGGCCUUAGAGUUUAAUAAUACACACACACACACAUAUGUGUGUGUGCCAACACUGACCUCCUGUUGUGGCUGUGUGUUCUGUUAACAAAGCGAAGGCUAUCAGCUGAUUGUUUCAGGCCUCAUAAAACCUCAGUUUCCACCUCAGAUAGUAGAGACAAACCAACUGCCAAAACCACAUCAGACAGUGACCAACAGAGACAGCAUGUAUCCUUAACCUAACAGGUCUAAUCUACACAUACAAAUUCCAGCUCUGGUCACUAUUUAUUAUAACUUGCAGUAACAGCACAGCUGGUGGUUGUUUAUAUGGUGCUAAGAACAAAGCAGAAUUUAGUUCUGUUCAUGCUGCUUAUACAACAUCCGGCAUUUUAAAAUGCAGUUUACACCUUAAAACAAGCCUCCAUUCAAUGUGGGAGAAGAUGGAAAUGAAAGGCAUUUCUGAUUUAUGAACAGAGACAUAUGAAUAUUAGAGAGUGUAUGUGUGUUAAGACAGAGAAAACUAGAGAGAGAGAGAGAGAGAGAGAGAGAGAGAGAGUGAGUGAGAGUUGUACAGAGUUUUAUGCAUUGUGGUUCUUUGCUACAACAGCGACACGUUUAUGCAGAGGGACGUUUCCUGCUCUCGCUCUUGUGGUCGGAAAUGGAAAAUUCAGAAAAAAAGGAUUGAUUGUUUCAGUGUCUAGAUCAUCUGUAUCCUGCACUGUAUACAAUCAGGUCUCCAAUGUAUUAUUGUACUUCAUGAUGUAUAUAGGUGAUUUACCAAUAAUGCAUGAGAAAAAUACUCAAUUGUGUAAAGAAUGUGCAAAAUUCUAUUUCCAUUUAUCUUUGCCUCACAGAAUAAAGUACAGUGUGUGAGAGUUCUGUUAUACA
ensembl:lncRNA